rnacentral:lncRNA from 1 species
AGGCCCUGUAAAAGGAGAACAGACGAGGAGAGGAGUGCAAAGAGCCUGCUUUCUCGGCCCUCCCUUUGCAGAGUGGGAGGCCCUCGCCAGCCUGAUCGACCCCCAUUGAGGAGGCCCUGGGUUUACUCACAGAUGAACAGACUAAGUCCCAGCAAGUCUAAAUCACCUAUUCAAGAGCUUCCAGCAGGUCGCUGGCAGAGCAGGAGCCAUCCCAUCUCAUAAUGUGAUUCUUAGGUCUAUGAACUUGAGAAGCAAUGAGUCAUGGGCCUGCUACCCAAAUCGAAG